AUUGAACGCUGGCGGCAGGCCUAACACAUGCAAGUCGAGCGAGCGGCCGACGGGCGUGUAAUGUAUGGGGCCUGCCCGACAGAGGGGGAUAAAUAAUGGUAACGGUCGCUAACUCAGCACACUGUCGGAUCACACAGAUGGGAUUAGUUAGUCAGUAAGGUAAUGGCUUACCUAGGCGACGAUCCCUCGCUGGUCUGAGAGGAUGAUCAGCAACACUGGAACUGAGACACGGCCCAGACUCCUACGGAGGCAGCAGUGGGGAAUAUUGCACAAUGGGGGCAAGCCUGAUGCAGCCAUGCGGCGUGUAUGAAGAAGGCCCUAGGGUUGUAAAGUACUUUCAGUCGGGAGGCGUUACCGACAGAAGAAGCACCGGCUAACUCCGUGCCAGCCGCCGCGGUAAUUC
rnacentral:rRNA from 1 species